GCCAAUGUAGACAGAACAGCGGCUGAUUCGUAAUCAGUUAGUCGGUGGUUCGAAUCCACUCGCCGGCUCCA
rnacentral:tRNA from 1 species